CAUUUUAGUUGUAAUAGAAACAAUCAUUUUAACUGAGUGAACUUUUUUUGACAUUCCAAACGUCAUCUUUUUUCUCGAUCUCUAAAAAUUACAGUUAAUUAUACUUUUCCGUUAUUUAAACCAUAAUUUUGCAAUUCACAGUUUUCUUACCGAUGCGCAGAAUUCAUUUUCUCUUAAAGUCAAAUCAAUACUAACCCGUGUGAACACAAAUAACCUCUAGAAAGGAAGACAACUAUUAAACCUAUUACAGUAAGAACGUUUGAUCGAGCUGUCGCAUUCAGAAAUUUAACCGGAAGAAGAAAGAAUAUUAAUAACAAUGCCUGAUCCGUGCCAAGGUUGUGACAAAAAUAAAAAAAAAGAUUGCUGUCAGACUUCAUGUAAUUGUACCACGGAUUGCAAAUGUGGUAAAGAUUGUCCAUGUGAAAAAGGUGGCUCCAAAUCAAACGAAAAGAAAUAACUGGUUAUUCAUUAAGCACUUUACAAAUGUAACUUUAACUUAAAUAAAGAGUGGACUCAAAAGUA